rnacentral:rRNA from 1 species
AUGCAUGUGUUAGUUCAUCUUGAAGUGAAACCGCGAAAAGCUCAGUAAAUCAGUCGUAAUACAUUAUCUUAUCACAAAAGGAUACCCCAGGUAACCCUUGAGCUAAUACUUGACUUACUUCUACGAAGUAUGAUUCUAAUAACAGCCUCUGACAGCUACGUCUGUUAAUAAGGGGAAUCUGAUUAGAGACUCAACUCCGAUGGUAGUUGCACGGAGUGUUAAUUGGAAGUGUCUGACCUAUCAAUUGGGGACGGUAGCGUAUUGGGCUACCAUGGUUCUGACGGGUGACGGGGAAUCAGGGUUCUAUUCCGGAGAGGCAGCCUUAGAAACGGCUACUACACCCAAGGGAGGCAGCAGGCGCGCAAAUUACCCAAUACUAGUUCGGUGAGGUAGUGACGAGAAAUAACAAUACAUUACUUUUGUGAUGUAAUUGGAAUGACAGCGAAGUAAAAUCUCUGAGGAGGAUCAAGUGGAGGGCAAGUCUGGUGCCAGCAGCCGCGGUAAUACCAGCUUCCACAAGCAUAUGCAAAAGUUGCUGCGUUUAGAAAGCUCGUAGUUGGUUCUGCUUUAAUUAUAUACUUAACGCAGCAUUGAGGUGUUAAUAUAAUUAAAUCUGUGGUUCCCCGAUGUAUUGCACUUAAUUGUGUGAUGCAUCAGGGUCAAUUUUACCUAGAAUAAAACAGCGUGUUUAAAGCAGCCUUUGGGCAUGAAUAAUGGAGCAUGGAAUAAUGGAGUAGGAUCGUGCAUCUUCAUGGGUUACUGGUUUAACGAUAAUGAUCAACAAGAUUGAAUGGGGGUAUUCGUAUUGUUACGUCAGAGGUGAAAUUCUUGGACCGUAGCAAGGCGAUCUACUGCGAAAGCAUUUGCCAAAAGUGUUUUUACUUAUCAAGAACGAAAGUUGGAGUAUUGAAGAGGAUUAGAUACCCCUCGUAAUUCUAACCAUAAACUAUUCAAACUCGAUUUGUGCAUGAUCAAAUGUGUUCUGGCAUGAAUUAUCUAGGAAACUAAAGUUUUUCUGUUACGGGGGUAGUAUGGUUGCAAAAUCGAAACUUAAAGGAAUUGACGGAAGGGCACCACCAGGAGUGGAGCCUGCGGCUUAAUUCGACUCAACACGGGGAAACUCACUAGGUCCAGACAUGGUUAAGAUUGACAGACUGAAUACUCAUCAUGAUACCUUGGGUGGUGGUGCAUGGCCGUUCUUAGUUAGUGGAGUGCUCUGUCUGGUUGAUUCCGAUAACGAACGAGACCCUAUUCAAUUGAAUAACAGCGGUGGGUUAACUAUAUGCUGUUUCUAAAAGAGACCAAGUGGGGUCCGCACCACUUGGAAGUCGGGCUAUAACAGGUCUGUGAUGCCCUUAGAUGUCCUGGGCUGCACGCGCGCUACACUGAGUGUAUCAUCGCUGGUAUCUUGUCCGAUAGGGACUGUGAAACCAUUGAAAUAUUUCACGUACUGGGAAUCGAUUUCUGGAAUUUCGAAUCGUAAACGAGGAAUUCCUAGUAAGUAUCGGUAAGUAUCCGGUGCUGAUUACGUCCCUGCCCUUUGUACACACCGCCCGUCGCUACUACUGAUUGGGUGUAUGAGCAAGACUUGCGGACAUCUAUUACAGCUCUUGUUGAAAUUCAAUGAAAGCAAAUCAAGUUCAUACGUUUA